rnacentral:lncRNA from 1 species
CUCGAAUUAUAAUCAGUGUAACAUCUUUUUAUACUUUUUGCCAUUUAAUAUCUCUCAUACAAAGCGAGUAACUCUUUCCAGCAAUAUUUUCAAGUAACAAUGACAUUCAAAAUAAGCGUUGAAAUAUAGCAUUUCACAAAUUAGAAGAAUUUACAAACAUAGUUUAUAUGCCUUCGCUCAAAAUAGUUCAACCUCAUAUAAAAGAUUAUAUAAUAACUACUACUUCUACUAAUAGCUACUAAUCAGGUCAACCCCUUCCCUUCUCAAUUCACUUCAAUGAUUCCUUGCACACAUUCACGUUCACCAUAAUAUGUAGAUCUUCUUCUAUAGAGAUACAAACUUGAGAAUGAAACAUAUGUGAUAUUUGUUCAGAUGUUUCAUUUGUCGCAAAGUUAACCGAGGAAACGCUGGCUCUAGACGAUUGGCUGGUUGAAUCUUCUUUGACAACCGCCCAUUAUGCGAUGCGAGAAAAUCACAGAGCGUCAACUCAAAUAGAAAACACUAUUGUUCGAACAAUAAUUAACACAAAGAAAAUCAUUUGCCAAACAUUUUAUAUCAUAAUGUCAAUACAUUUACUUUGUGGAAAAAUAUUAUUAUACCAAUAAAAAAAUCAUACUAAAGACCCGUACAUAGCAAGUAUUUCAAUUUAAAAAUGAAAUAAAUUAAUGUUUUUAGCUUCGGAAGUUUAGAUGCCAAGGCGUAUUGACUCUAGUAGCUUGAAUACAAAUAUGUUCUGAAUGCAAUUUGUUGGCAACCAAUACUAUGCAUCAAUAGGAAAUUUAUAAGUAUUCCAACCACAGUUUCUGAUGAUCCUAGUGGUACACUGGCAAAUUUUAAUAGAGAGGCAAGUUCCAAACUUUAAUGGAAAGAACUAAACAUGAUACUGGAAUAGCCAAUUUUGGUGUUUUGCUGGAGAGUUGGCAAGCAUUGGCAUGUUGGAAAAUUGUAUAGCCAAAUUAUUGAACACCCAAUCAUCGCUUUCUUUAGCUUGUCUUAAAAGUGCCCUCAUAUUUAGCACUAUGACAUCUCUGAUUCUAAAUUAGACCCGUCAAUUGAUGCAAGAAAACUAUCUUAAAUAAGGUGCCAGUUUCUUAUACCAUAACUUAACUAUUGAAUUAAUAUUUUUGCAAAGAGCAUGGAUGGUGGGAGGAUGCAAAGGAGCAGCUAAAUGACAGAAUUAAAAAUAAAAAAGAGGUAAGUGAUGCACAGCAAGAGGACCUGAAUACUAAAGAUACCGGGAAACGUAACCACACCGGGCAGCAUGAUGGUUACUUCAUUCAUUGAGACGGGAAAUGUAAACAUGAUAAUGAAAUUACACAGAUCCACAAUAAUAAAGCAAAAAUCCAAACUCGUGUGCAAAGAAAUUUGACUGCUACCCAUUUAAAUGUGGUCUUCAACAUCUAACAUAUCAAAGAUAAAAAUAAUAGAGAUCCAGUAAAAUCUUCAAUUCAACAGAAAAUAAAGAAAAAAUCAUAGGUAUAUGCAUUUAUACACUUGCUAGACGGGACUAAGAUGACUUCGAAGGAGAUUUGUGGACUCCGUAAAGAUGAGCACCGAGUGCGCUUGAACUGGCCUGCGGCCGGAGUACUUCAAGCAUGUGCCGGCCGGAGGUUGCUUUCUCCCUUCUGGGACUCGAAAUGGGUGGAGAUGGAAGUUAAAAAUUUUGGGAAAAAUGGGUGGAAAUGGAGAUUUCAAUUGAGCCGGCUGGAAAUUUUCAGGCCCUUCGUUUCUGUACUAUGGAGGAAGUGUGAGGAGAGAGAGAGAGAGAGAGAGAGAGAGCAACCUUGG